UAAAAAAGAAAAAUACAAAAACAAAAUAAUAGCUUCUUCCCCAUCCCUUUUCCCUCUGUUGUUUCUCCUUCAACCCUAAUUACAAAACCCCAAAAUUUCUUGCUCUUUCUCAGAGAAAUCCUCGGAAAAUCUUGUCCAAUUUAUGGAUCAGUACUAUCAUCAUCAGCCUCAUAAUCAAUGGGGGCAACCACCACUACCACCGCCCCCGCAGCAACCCAGCAUAUGCCCAGUUUGCUCAAUUCCUCACCUGCCAUUUUGCCCUCCCUACGCUCCUUACAAUCACCAAAACCCUAAUUACCCUCCUCAACCUCCCCAUUAUGCCCGACCCGGAUUUGACCCCUACCAACCUCCCCUACCACCUACGCCACCUCCUCCUCCUCCCGCGGUCCCAACUCAUACUCCCCCUUACAUCGACGGGUUCUCCGAUCCUAGAUCCUGGCAUCGAAACCCUAAUUACGGCUACGAUUAUGGUGCGGCUGGUGGUGGUGGUGAAGUUGAUCGGAGCUACAAGAGGCCGAGAGUUGACGAGUUUGGUUCGGGUCCGGGUUCAGGUUGGACUUUGUCAGAGGAUGAGAGAAGAUUGAAGUUGAUUCGUGAUCAUGGUGGUGCUUCUUUGAGUGGAUGUAACCAAGAAAAUAUAUAUUUCCAAAAUAAUAUUAAUAACAAUAACAAGGCCACCCCAAUGCCGCCAAGGCUUACAGAGAUGUAUAACAUUGAAGAUUCACUAAACAAUGAUAAUGAUUAUAGUAAUAAUUAUGAUUACAAUCAGCAGCAGAUUCAACAUAAAGAUUUAGUGCCUGCGGCGGUGAAUAAUUGGCAAGGUUAUGAAGAGAGAAUUGGCGGUUAUUUGUCACAACCUGGUGGCAGUAACAUGGCUCAGCCGCCUCCUCCUCCUCUUCCAGCUUCUCCGCCGCCACCUCUGCCUGUAGAGCCUCCAAUGCAGAAUCACUCUUCUUCGGAGUUUAAGGCUUUUUCUUUAUCACCCAAUUCAUCAUUUUCUUUAUUUCCUAUACCUGUUAGUUCUUCAGUCACAGCGCAUUCCACUUAUCCAGUGGUUCCUGAGCCUUAUUAUCAGAGCAAGCCACGGCAUGCUUCUGGUGGAUUCAAUGGGGAGGAUCCUCAAGUUAUCCAUAGGACUGUGCAAUACGUGGGCAUUCCUCCAAAGCCAUUGUGUUCUGAUAAGCCUAAAUUUGUUAAUGCUUCUGAGUUGUUUAAGAUGCCUCAUAGAGCUUCUCGGCCUGAUCAUAUUGUGAUAAUUCUUCGAGGGCUUCCAGGUAGUGGAAAGAGCUACUUAGCAAAGAUGUUGCGAGAUCUUGAGGUUCAAAAUGGUGGUGAUGCCCCUCGAAUCCACUCGAUGGAUGAUUAUUUUAUGACUGAAGUUGAAAAGGAUGAGGAGACUGAUUCAAAAUCAUCAAGUUCAGCUCGAAGCAAGAAAGCAAUGAAGAAAACGGUGAUGGAGUACUGUUAUGAACCUGAAAUGGAGGGGGCCUAUAGAGAAAGCAUGUUGAAAGCAUUCAAGAGGACCCUUGAAGAUGGGAUCUUCAGUUUUGUAAUUGUGGAUGACCGCAAUCUGCGGGUAGCUGAUUUUGCUCAGUUUUGGGCAAUUGGAAAGAGAUCAGGUUAUGAAGUUUACGUAUUGGAAGCUACAUAUAAGGAUCCAGUGGGCUGUGCAGCUAGGAAUGUUCAUGGUUUUACCCUAGAUGAUAUCCAACAGAUGGCAGGACAAUGGGAAGAAGCUCCAUCAUUAUACUUGCACCUGGACAUCAAGUCAUUGUUCCAUGGAGAUGACCUGAAGGAAUGUGGUAUUCAGGAGGUUGACAUGGACGUGGAAGAUGGAGAUCGUGAAGAAGGAUUAUCAGGACAGCAAGAACAAAAGCCUGAGAAAACGAAAUCACUUGCUGUUGGAGAUCAUGUACUUGGAGGAUUUCAAGAUUUAGAUUCUUCAAAGGAUGACAAUAGGAGGGAUGCUGAGGGGGACCAUCCUGUGGAGGUGAAAGAAUUAAGUCGGAGUAAAUGGUCAAACGAUUUGGACGAAGAUGAAAUUGAAGGACCAGAAGCUAUUAAGGGAAACUUGAAUGCUUUUUCUGGGUUGAUCCAAGCAUACAAGAAGAAGGGAAAAUCUGUGCAUUGGAGUGACCAGUUAUUUUUCAGGGCGGUGACACUGGAUUCUCAAUAGGUGCAGCAAAGAAGGCCAAAAUGUUGUCUCUAGUGAUUGGACCAGGAGCUGGUUACAAUUUGAAGUCUAACCCAUUACCUAUGGAGGAGAGCCAUACAUCCAACAGCAGUGGCACUUUGAAGAAGCAGAGUUCAUUCCAAGAGCGACUUCGUGCAGAGCAGGACUCCUUUAAAGCUAUUUUUGAUAGGAGGAAGAGAAUCGGCAGGCUUGAUCUUGACGAGGAUUAGUAUAAUUAAAAAUCCGGGGGAAGUUUUGCCUUUGUAGAGAUGUUUAGCAUGACUGCUUUCUCUGGCCGCGCGCCCACCACCCCCCAUUCCCCACGUUUUUUGGGUAUUUUAUGGGGGGACUUGCGGGAUGUUUGUAGAUUAGUAUGGAAAAAGAGAGGUGGUUCGGUCAAACUGUAGCUGUAAUACAGAAUGAGAAUUCAAUCUCCAUGGUAGGAAAAGAAAGUUUUUCUACCACCAUUAUCAAAUUCAUAGUUGUAAUCGUUUUCUUGGCAUCUCAAUGCCUGUGUGAUGCAUUCCAUGACGUGCCAGAAGUUAUCCAUAUUACUAAAAUUCACUAAAUAAAAUUUUCUGAUCUGGUCUGCGACCCAGGCAUUAGAUUAAUACUUA